AUUGAACGCUGGCGGCAUGCCUUACACAUGCAAGUCGAACGGCAGCGGGCCCUUCGGGGUGCCGGCGAGUGGCGAACGGGUGAGUAAUGCAUCGGAACGUACCCGUGUGCGGUGGAUAACCGGCCGACAGGCUGGCUCAUACCGCAUGACCUCGUACGAGCAAAGCGUGGGACCUUCGGGCCUCGCGCUCUCGCACCGGCCGAUGUCCGGUUAUGCUAGUUGGUGGGGUAAAGGCCCACCAAGGCGACGAUCGGUAGCGGGUCUGAGAGGACGAUCAGCCACACUGGGACUGAGACACGGCCCAGACUCCUACGGGAGGCAGCAGUGGGGAAUAUUGGACAAUGGGCGCAAGCCUGAUCCAGCAAUGCCGCGUGGGUGAAGAAGGCCUUCGGGUUGUAAAGCCCGUUCGGCGGGGAAGAAAUCGGGCAGGCGAAUAGUCUGGCCGGAUGACGGUACCCGCAGAAGAAGCACCGGCUAACUACGUG
rnacentral:rRNA from 1 species